rnacentral:rRNA from 1 species
CCUACGGGUGGCAGCAGUGGGGAAUAUUGCACAAUGGGGGAAACCCUGAUGCAGCAACGCCGCGUGAGUGAGGAAGGAUUUCGGGAUGGAAAGCUCUAUCAGCAGGGAAGAGAAAAGAAGGUACCGGAAAAAGAAGCGCCGGCUAACUACGUGCCAGCAGCCGCGGUAAGACGUAGGGGGCAAGCGUGAUCCGGAUUUACGGGGUGUAAAGGGAGCGUAGAUGGGAAGGCAAGGCAGACGUGCAAACCCAAGGCUCAACCAUGGGACUGCUUUUGAAACUGUCAAACUAGAGUACGGGAGAGGUAAGCGGCAUUCCUCGUGUAGCGGUGACAUGCGUAGAUCUUAGGAGGAACACCAGUGGCGACGGCGUCUUACUGGACCGAAACUGCCGUUGCGGCUCGAAAGCGUGGGGAGCACACAGGAUUAGAUACCCUUGUAGUC